rnacentral:rRNA from 1 species
UACAGAGGUGGCAAGCGUUGUUCGGAAUUACUGGGCGUAAAGAGCGCGUAGGCGGCCCUGUAAGUCCGCUGUGAAAGUCAAGGGCUCAACCCUUGAAUGCCGGUGGAUACUGCAGGGCUAGAGUCCGGAAGAGGCGAGUGGAAUUCCUGGUGUAGCGGUGAAAUGCGUAGAUAUUGGGAGGAACACCAGUGGCGAAGGCGGGUCUCUGGGCAUUAACUGACGCUGAGGAGCGAAAGCAUGGGGAGCGAACAGG